rnacentral:rRNA from 1 species
UGGGGAAUAUUGGACAAUGGGGGCAACCCUGAUCCAGCGACGCCGCGUGUGUGAAGAAGGCCUGCGGGUUGUAAAGCACUUUUAGUGGGGAUGAAAAGCCUAGGGAUAACACCCUUGGGUCUUGACCUAACCCACAGAAAAAGCACCGGCUAACUCUGUGCCAGCAGCCGCGGUAAUACAGAGGGUGCAAGCGUUAAUCGGAAUUACUGGGCGUAAAGCGUGCGUAGACGGUUACAUAAGUCGGGUGUGAAAGCCCCGGGCUCAACCUGGGAAUUGCAUUCGAGACUGCGUAGCUAGGGUGCGGAAGAGGGAAGUGGAAUUUCCGGUGUAGCGGUGAAAUGCGUAGAUAUCGGAAGGAACAUCAGUGGCGAAAGCGACUUCCUGGUCCAGCACCGACGUUCAGGCACGAAAGCGUGGGGAGCAAACAGG